UAACUCCAGAUGACACCGGGAGACAAAGGGAAGCCAUUUCCGGAGAGGGCGGAGUUUGCUUCCGUGCAGGUACCGCCUAAAUGCACAACCGGCCAAAACUAUGGGAAGGUGUUGGGAGUGAGCAUCCCAUCCUACAGAAGAGGAAACUGAGGCACAGACAGGGUAAGGAGAGCCUGGUGCAGAGCUGGUAAGUGGCAGAAGCCAUGUCCAGACCCACGUCCCUCCCCUGGUUGAGAACCACCUAUUUCUGCCAAGCGCACUUAGGAUAAACUCAGCCUCCCAGCCCCGACAAGGAAGACCUUGCCUCAUCUGGCUCUGCCCUGUUUCUGCCUCCUCUCCUGUCCCAUUCUUCCCACUCAGGGAGCUCUCCAGCCACACUGGACAUGACACACGGGCCUGUCGGGGGCUCUGCCUCAGCGGUGUCUCCUCCCACAGUCCACUCCCCGGACCGUUGCUAGUCUGCCCCUCUCGUCAUUAGGCUCUGGCUCCUGUGGUUCCUUCUCCCCGCAUCCUGGCCUCUAAUGCAGACUGAAAUGAUUCCACUGGUGUACUGGUUUUAUGCUUGGCCUCCACCUGGUGGAGCACAGGGUCUGAGAGAGGAGGCUGUGCCUUUCUUGUGGGUGCUGGCUCCAUCAGCCCCUGUCGGGACCUGGCAGAGUGGGCGCUUGGCGGACACAGCCCGGGGUCCGGUGGUGAGUGAGUGAGUGUCCGCCUCCACGCCAGCUUCUCCAGCACUCCGUCGCCCUGCACGGUGCCGGCUCGCCUCCACUCACCUGUGCCCUUGCCGUCAGACAGAGUGGAGGUGGAGACACCAAGGCCUUGAGCUGCCCAAGGUGGUGUAGCUGGCUGGUGGUGCCAGGAUCAACACAACGGCCUCGGGGCUAUCCACGUCCACCUCCCCGAUGAGAAAAGCAGUCCCUGGAUGCGAGGGACUGGCCUGGGGUUCCCUGGCUCCUGAGUGCAAAGCCGGGGCUAGAACCUUGUCCCUUCCAGGGUUCCUGGGCCCUCCCAGGGCUCCCAGACU